rnacentral:rRNA from 1 species
UAGGGAAUCUUCCACAAUGGGCGAAAGCCUGAUGGANCAACGCCGCGUGUGUGAUGAAGGGUUUCGGCUCGUAAAACACUGUUGUAAGAGAAGAAUGACAUUGAGAGUAACUGUUCAAUGUGUGACGGUAUCUUACCAGAAAGGAACGGCUAAAUACGUGCCAC